GACGAACGCUGGCGGCGUGCUUAACACAUGCAAGUCGAACGGAAAGGCCCUGCUUGCAGGGUCCUCGAGUGGCGAACGGGUGAGUAACACGUGGGUGAUCUGCCCUGCACUUCGGGAUAAGCCUGGGAAACUGGGACUAAUACCUGAUAGGAGCCAUUUCUUGCGUGUUGGUUGGAAAGUUUUUUCGGUGUGGGAUGAGUGCGUGGCCUAUCAGCUUGUUGGCGGGUUAAUGGCCUACCAAGGCGGCGACGGGUAGCCGGCCUGCGGGGGUGGACGGCCACCAUGGUACUGCGAGACGCAGCAGUCGCCAACGGGAGGCAGCAGUGGGAAGUAUGACACAGUGGGCGCAAGCCUGAGGCAGAGACGCCGCGUGGGGAAAGACGGCCUUCGGGUAGUAAACAGCUUUCGCUAGGGACGAAGCUUUUGUGACGGUACCUAAAUAAGAAGCACCGGCUAACUACGUG
rnacentral:rRNA from 1 species